AGGAUGAACGCUGGCGGCGUGCCUAAUACAUGCAAGUCGAGCGGUAAGGCCCCUUCGGGGGUACACGAGCGGCGGACGGCUGAGUAACACGUAGGAACGUACCCCAAACUGAGGGAUAAGCACCAGAAAUGGUGUCUAAUACCGCAUGUGCUCUUCGGAGUAAAGCUUCGGCGGUUUGGGAGCGGCCUGCGCAUGAUUAGCUUGUUGGUGAGGUAAAAGCUCACCAAGGCGACGAUCAUUAGCUGGUCUGAGAGGAUGAUCAGCCAGACUGGGACUGAGAACGGCCCAGACUCCUACGGGAGGCAGCAGUAGGGAAUUUUCCACAAUGGGCGCAAGCCUGAUCCAGCAAUGCCGCGUGGGUGAAGAAGGUCUUCGGAUUGUAAAGCCCUUUCGGCGGGGACGAUGAUGACGGUACCCGCAGAAGAAGCCCCGGCUAACUUCGUGCCAGCAGCCGC
rnacentral:rRNA from 1 species